GUUCCGCCCGUGUUGCCAGGUUUCUGGGUCCUGAGCUAGGAGCCUACGAUGCAGAGAGGAGACAAACGGAAACACCUCUUCUAGGAUGAAAAUUGCACCAAAGCAAGUCCACAGAAUGCCUGGAGCCCCCAACUCGGUGAAUGGCACAUAGCGGCACUUGAUAAAUAUCAGUUCAUUUGAAUUGUGCUUUACUCUUCCUUGGCUCCUGGACACCAAACACAGCACUUAGCACCUGAUGGGUAUUAUUACAUCGAUAUCUGUGGAUAAAUUAUCAAAGGAUGGAAGGAGACAGGAAUAAAAGACAAAAUAUGCCAAUAAAUUCAUGAUGACUUUUCAUCAUCAAUUAAUAUUCUGGAAUGUUUGUGCAUGCCUGGGACCAUCUCUCACCUGAAGGACGUGGGAAUUGGGUCAGAGAUCAGAUGGAUCCUGGGACUUCUGGCUCCAAGUUCACGGGUGAAAUCAGCAGACCAUAGUUCUGAUGUUAAUCAGAAAUGUCACUAUCACCAUGACAAGUGCAAAUGUAAAGUGCAGUGCCAUCUUCCAUUGCAGUGUCCUUGUCAUUGCUAUAAGAAAUCCUCACUUGUCACCUUUAUCACUCCACCUCCCAGGACCCACAGAGACCUUGCUGAUACCAAUUCAUGGGAAAUCAAUCUGGCAGAAAUCAGCCCUGGGCUGCUGAGGCAGGGUCAGGGAUAGCACUGUUCCGGGACAGGUGAGCUUGUCUGGAGGCAGGCAAGCCCCGCUCCUAACCCUGGCCUCUCCAUGUACCAUCUGUAUGAGAUUGGACGAGUUACCCAAUAUCUCCAAGACUCAGCUUCUUCCACCAUGAAAUGAGAGCACUAUGUGUUCCUAAGUCUCAAGGUUGUUGAAUGAGAUGAGAUCAUGUAUGUUACGUGACUGGCAUGUAGAUGUUACUGCUAGACUGCGGAAAUCCAGGACAGCUAGACUCGGUGCAGACUUUUUGAGAAAGAAAUGAAGCUCUGAGCUGCCAUCCAAUCACAGGCCCUUCCGUUUGGGUAGGACCCUGUGAAGCAGGGGAAAGGACCACAUCAUCUCCAUUUUACAGAAGAGGAAACUGACACUCAGGGAGGUUAAGUAACUUUGCCUGAAGCCACCUAGCAAGCCCACACCACUUAAACCUGGUCUCCUCUGACACAGUACCCGGGAGCACUCAGACACCUGCUGCUGCUGAUGCCACAAAAACAGACCUAGAAGGGCAAGUGGGGAGGGUCAAGAGAAUCUGGGAGUCUGGGGUCCAGGCCUCUGCAUCCUUGCACAGUGGCCUUGGACUGGGAACACUGCCAUCAACCAGGGAGGGGGAUGAAAGCAGCUUUUACAAAGCAGGGUCUGAGGUCCUCAGACAGGCCCCCUUUGUGGACUUCCUUUCCCUCCCCACCCCCAUGCCGGCUGCCAGUAGCAUCGCCCUCAUUGAAUGGCUGGCUUGCACACACUGGAAAUUUGCAACACAAAUGCACGGCUUGUCUCCCUCUCCGCAGAGCCUCACUGCCCCAGCCUUUUGGGGCCUUCUAAAGUCUGCCUUUCUCUGGGGUACUUUCUUUCUUCAGCUCAAGCCCCCAGCCCUAGAUGCAGCCACAAUCACUAAUUAACGCUGGGUUAAAACACGUCUUGGGAAAGUGAGCUGGGCGGCCACCGAGGCGUUCUCAUCAUCACUUGGAGGACAAGGACAAGGCGGCGGUGGGAAUCGGUGGAAGGGGCUGGGUUUUCAUUCUCUGGGUUCUUUCUGGCUCCCCAUCCUCCCCCACCCCCCGCCGCACUAUGCUCUUUCUCAGUGGGUUUGAGAAUUUACUGCAAAUAAAGCCUGUCACCAAGAUGGCUCCCAGCCCUCCCCGCCACCAGGCUGCCACCAAGCUGCCCAUUUUUUCAGAGCUCAGCUCUGAAAAACUACAAUAACUGCUACCAUUUGCCAAGACACUCACAUAUCAGACACCAACAUGCAUAUUUCUUUUUCUUUCUUUCUUUUUGUGGAGACAGGGUUCUCGCUGUGUUCCCCAAGCUGGUCUCGAACUCCUGGGUUCAAGUAACCUGCCUGCCUCUGCCUCCCAGUGUUGGGAUUACAGGUGUGAGCCACCGCGUCCAGCCAAGCAUAUUUCUGGUUCUCACAACAACCUGGAGUGGAAAAUGAAGGGAUAAAUGAUGGGAACGCCAGGCGGCUGCCAGAGCAAACACCCAGCCCAGGGCCCCUGGAUUUGAGCAGUGCCUCGGAGCAGAGGGAGAUCUUCUCAUCAGGUGAGAGGGGUGGCCCUGGGGGGCUAGGCUGGGUGGGGGUAAGAAAAGUUAACCUUCUCACGAACUCAGAAACACUGAGUCCAAGAGGCCCACUGCCAUCCUCUUUGCCCAUGGACUGGUGAGUACAUUUGAGCCCCUCUCUGGAUAAAAUCACCCCUCAAUAGGAGCUCUGGAAUAGGCUUUUGAUGGUGCCGUCUGGGGCUUGUCUUAACUUGGGCGCGUGGCGGACUGGCUCCAGCUGUCUGUCGCAGGUGGUGAGGUCUCAGUGCUCCUUCGAGGGUGCGUGGGCAGGCUUCGGGGGCAAACGUGAGUUGGCUCGAUUUUCCUAUCGGCGAUGGGAUUCUGCCAUGGAUCAGAGACGAGCCAAGUGGCUGUGCAAAUCAAUACUGCUCAUAGAUCACUCAGAACUGAUUCAAUGUAAUUGCUGGGAAAUUGAUAACAUUUUGCUUUCUUGCUCAAUUGCAGCCGCACUCUUUACUCCAGGUUUUAGACACAAUUAUCUGCCUUUGGCGUCCUCCGCUACCCCACGCCUGUCUCCUGAUCCUUGCUUUAAUGGUCCUGAAGUAUUUGUGUCUUUCACCAUAGACUGCCUCAAACCCCUUCUGGAAGGAGGUGGAGUGUCACUCUUUUGAAUGACAGUUCAGGAUGCUUCCUCGUUAAAAACUUAGAUUUCUUUUAACGUGGAAUGCUGUCGCUGAAACAGUUUAUAAACCAGAUCAGGAAGUCUAUGCUUCGGGGUGCUCAAAUUUCAAAGGGGAAUAUUCAAUGAAGGUUAAAGAUGUUCUUUCCCUGGGUUUUCAAAAAUGGCCUUGUGAAUUUGGGUUCCUGAGACCUGACCUCUGUCGUUAGCUGCAGGUGAAUCUGCAGAAUUCUCCUGGCAUUCCUGGCAUGAAGGCUGGCAAAAGGUGCCAACGGAUGUAGAUCAAGUGCCCGUUUAUCCUGAAUCCAGGCAAUCUCAAGUACAUCUAAUCACAGAAUCAGUGCCACCCUGGGUGAAGGAUGCCACUCUGGGUGUUCUUCUUUGUGAUCCUCACCCUCAGCAGCAGCUCCCACUGCUCCCCACCUCCCCCUUUGACCCUCAGGAUGCGGCGGUAUGCAGAUGCCAUCUUCACCAACAGCUACCGGAAGGUGCUGGGUCAGCUGUCCGCCCGCAAGCUGCUCCAGGACAUCAUGAGCAGGCAGCAGGGAGAGAGCAACCAAGAGCGAGGAGCAAGGGCACGGCUUGGCCGCCAGGUAGACGGCAUGUGGGCAGAACAAAAGCAAAUGGAAUUGGAGAGCAUCCUGGUGGCCCUGCUGCAGAAGCACAGGUGUCCCCAAGGAUUCGGCUGCAGGUGAACUGACAGGCAUGCUCUGGAUCCCUUGCCAAGUUCAAAAAACUAUCAAGCCAAAGACAGACCAGCCCUCCCACACCCUGUGGUAGAUGAGUGUGUGCAGACACACAAUCAGCAGACGAGAGACGUGAUGACUGUCGUUCCCCAGCUCACUGGCCCUCACGUUUCUCCUGGGAGUCUACAGAGGAGGAAAAACACCACCAGCCCAGAGAUUUCACCACCUACAAGCAGCACCAGGCCUACGGCAGAUGACAGGAGGAGCGACAACCAGUCUGGGAGGCGGGAAGAACACCUGGGCCCCAGGCCUGUUUCCGCAACUAGCGG